rnacentral:rRNA from 1 species
UACGUAGGGUGCAAGCGUUAAUCGGAAUUACUGGGAGUAAAGCGUGCGCAGGCGGUUGUGCAAGACAGAUGUGAAAUCCCCGGGCUCAACCUGGGAAUUGCAUUUGUGACUGCACGGCUAGAGUGUGUCAGAGGGGGGUAGAAUUCCACGUGUAGCAGUGAAAUGCGUAGAGAUGUGGAGGAAUACCGAUGGCGAAGGCAGCCCCCUGGGAUAACACUGACGCUCAUGCACGAAAGCGUGGGGAGCAAACAGG